AGACUAGGCCUCACUAACUUGCUCAUGCUGGCUUUAAAUCACUCUCUAGGCCUGCCAGGAGGAAUCUGCAUCUGUGGCUCAUUUGCCUCACCAUCUAUGUCACUGGGGUUACCACCUCCCUUCACUUCAGUCAUUUUGAGGAUAAAAUGACUUAUUAAUAGUAAAGGGUUGCAUAAAUAAAAUAUGCUCUUCUAAGACAAUGUGAUAGGAUGCUAUCAUUAAGAUUGAUAUUUCUGAAAAUAAUUUUUGUGACAUAAAGAUGUGCCACAAACACUAAUAAAAAGCGUUUAAUGAUAAACAUGCAAAAUAUUUUCUUCUCCGUUUUAAUUUUACAUACAUGGGAUCAAUAUACAGAUAUAAGGCUAAGAGAACAGAUCAAAAUAUUAUAGUUAUCCUGAGUUGUGCUUUAAUGUUAUUGAACAAAUAUGCUGGGGACUGAUGCUGUGGUUGAAUGAUAGAGGAAGGAGAAAGGCAAACCAAGAUGCUGAACUAUUUUUGCGAUGUGUUCCUAAUAUGUACUAUGAGUAUAUUGGGGAUGCUUUGCAUUCAUGGUUCUGCAUCCAUCAUAUGGACAGUCACCUCCAAGCUGUAGCACCACCAGUGACCAAAGAGAGAUACUGAGCUGUUUUUGCGAUGUGUUCCUAAUAUGUGCUAUAAUUAUAUUGGGAACAUUUUGCAUAAAUAGCUUUGUGUCAAUACACAGGCAAAAGGUUGGAAGAAAGAAGCUGCAAGUCUAACCAUAGUUGUUUAUGGUUUGUUUUUAUAAUAGGAAUCAGAUACAGAAUUAUUUUUGCAGUAUGUUCCUGAAUACAUAACAUAAGCGUAUUGGGAACAUUUUGCAUGCAUAAUUUUGUAUCAAUAUAUGGGGGGAAGACUAGGAAGAAACAUGACAAAACUUGAACAGAACUUAUGUCUCUGGUAUUACAGGUGAUGUUUAUUGUUGUCUUUAUAUUUUUAUUGUUUUUUUUUACCAAUUAUUGUGUAAACAAAAUGUUUUUCUUUUAUAGCAAAAGAAUAAACUUAUUUUAUUUUA